rnacentral:misc_RNA from 1 species
UCCGAGUUGACCCCGGCAGUCUCCUGCGAGUCCCCGCCAUUACGCGCUGGCAACACAGGACAAGGGUUGCGCUCGUUGCGGGACUUAACCCAACAUCUCACGACACGAGCUGACGACAGCCAUGCACCACCUGUGCACUGGCCCCGAAGGGCUGCCGUGUUUCCACGACAUUCCAGUGCAUGUCAAGCCCUGGUGAGGUUCUUCGCGUCGCGUCGAAUUAAACCACAUGCUCCGCUGCUUGUGCGGGUCCCCGUCAAUUCCUUUGAGUUUUAGCCUUGCGGCCGUACUCCCCAGGCGGGGCGCUUAAUGCGUUAGCUCCGGCACGGAGAUCGUGGAAGACCCCCACACCUAGUGCCCAACGUUUACGGCGUGGACUAC